rnacentral:lncRNA from 10 species
GAGUGAAGUAACUGACUGGACAUCCCAAAGUUAGGUGGUCCUGAGAGCCAGGUGCUGACAGCUGCCUCACCUUAAGAGUCUCCUUUCGUUAUGGCAUCUGGAAAGAUCUCACAUGGCAGGCCUGCUUCUAGUUCCUUCUUCCUAGUGUGUCUGAGGAAAUCCAAUCUCUCCCACUCCAGCCCGCCUACUCAUUGAACAUGGCUGCUAUCUCUGUCUUCUGGAAACACGGCUCCAAUCCUGCAACAACUCUAUACAAGAGCUCCCAGUGGUUCUUAACCUUGGCUGAGCAACAGACCCAUUUGGGAAGAUUUUUAAAAAUCUAGCUUAUGAGAUACCUCAGAUCAAUCAAUCCCUGGCAGUGGGUCUGCUAAACAUCAGAUACAGACAAACAACUGCAUAGAUCUCCAACUAGAUUGAAGAACAGGACCCUCCAGAGAGCUUCCAAGAAGACACCAACCUAGGCAUGGGUUUAUGUUCCUGACAAAGAAUAAGGAUUGUUAUGAAGAAUGUUCUAUUUUGAAUUGUGAAAAUAAUUAUUUAAAGCUGUACAAUU